rnacentral:hammerhead_ribozyme from 1 species
AUCCAGCUAGUGACGAGUCCCAAAUAGGACGAGACGUACGUCCUGGAU